AUUCAGCUGACGCGUCUCAAACAGGACGAAACGCGCGUUUUGGAU
rfam:Schistosoma haematobium scaffold756_40, whole genome shotgun sequence.